rnacentral:snoRNA from 1 species
ACCAAUAUUGAGAGAUAAACACAAUUCUUUUAGGUAUAAUGGCUUGUGACGCAAUAUUAGUUAAUUGUGGUAUAUCCUGAUCAUCUUGCUUUCAUAUCUGCCUUUUGAUCCUGGAAAUGCCUCGCACAUUA